rnacentral:rRNA from 1 species
AUUGAACGCUGGCGGCAGGCUUAACACAUGCAAGUCGAGCGAGCGGCGGACGUGUGAGUAAUGUCUGGGAAACUGCCUGAUGGAGGGGGAUAACUACUUGAAACGGUAGCUAAUACCGCAUACCAUCAGAUGUGCCCAGAUGGGAUUAGCCAGUAGGUGGGGUAAUGGCCCACCUAGGCGACGAUCCCUAGCUGGUCUGAGAGGAUGACCAGCAACACUGGAACUGAGACCCGGUCCAGCCUCCGACGGGAGGCAGCAGUGGGGAAUAUUGCACAAUGGGCGCAAGCCUGAUGCAACCAUGCCGCGUGUGUGAAGAAGGCCUUCGGGUUGUAAAGCACUUUCAGCGAGGAGGCGUUACUCGCAGAAGAAACACCGGCUAACUCCGUGCCAGCCGCCGCGGUAAUUC